rnacentral:rRNA from 1 species
GACGAACGCUGGCGGCGUGCUUAACACAUUCAAGUCGAACGAAGUGGCGAACGGGUGAGUAACGCGUAAUUAACCUGCCCUUCAGAGGGGGACAACAGUUGGAAACGACUGCUAAUACCGCAUACUGAAGGAGGGGAUUGCGGUUGAUUAGCUAGUUGGAGGGGUAACGGCCCACCAAGGCGAUGAUCAGUAGCCGGGCUGGUAGGAUGAACGGCCACAUUGGGACUGAGACACGGCCCAGACUCCGACGGGAGGCAGCAAGGGGGAAUCUUCCGAAAUGGACGGAAGUCUGACGGAGCAACGCCGCGUGAGUGAUGACGGCCUUCGGGUUGUAAAGCUCUGUUAAGCGGGACGCGGUACCGGAAUAGAAAGCCACGGCUAACUACGUGCCAGCAGCCGCGGUAAUUC